rnacentral:rRNA from 1 species
GACGAACGCUGGGGGCGUGCUUAACACAUGCAAGUCGAGCGGUAAGGCCCUUUCGGGGGUACGACGAGCGGCGAACGGGUGAGUAACACGUGGGUGACCUGCCCUCAGCUCUGGGAUAAGCCUGGGAAACCGGGUCUAAUACUGGAUAUGACUCCAUGACGCAUGUUGUGGGGUGGAAAGCCUUGUGCGGCUGAGGAUGGGCCCGCGGCCUAUCAGCUUGUUGGUGGGGUGAUGGCCUACCAAGGCGACGACGGGUAGCCGGCCUGAGAGGGCGACCGGCCACACUGGGACUGAGACACGGCCCAGACUCCUACGGGAGGCAGCAGUGGGGAAUCUUGCGCAAUGGGCGAAAGCCUGACGCAGCGACGCCGCGUGAGGGAUGACGGCCUGGUGU